UACAGAGGGUGCUAGCGUUAAUCGGAAUUAUUGGGCGUAAAGGGCGCGUAGGCGGUUGUUUAAGUUUGAUGUGAAAGCCCCGGGCUUAACCUGGGAACUGCAUUGAAUACUGGGCGACUAGAGUACUGUAGAGGGUAGUGGAAUUUCCGGUGUAGCGGUGAAAUGCGUAGAGAUCGGAAGGAACACCAGUGGCGAAAGCACUCUGCUGGGCCGACACUGACACUGAGAGACGAAAGCUAGGGGAGCAAAUGGG
rnacentral:rRNA from 1 species